rnacentral:rRNA from 1 species
GCAGCCACUCAUUCAAAGAGUGCGUAAUAGCUCACUGGUCGAGUGAUCCUGCGCCGAAGAUUUCCGGGGCUAAAACUUACUACCGAAGCUACGGCAUCAGUAAUGAUGGGUAGGGGAGCUUCCCAUACGGGUUGAAGCAUGACCGUAAGGACAUGUGGACAGUAUGGGAGUGAGAAUGUUGGCAUGAGUAGCGAGAUGUGGGUGAGAAUCCCACAGGCCGUAAACCCAAGGUUUCCAGGGGAAGGUUCGUCCGCCCUGGGUUAGUCGGGACCUAAGCUGAGGCCGAAAGGCAUAGGUGAUGGACAACAGGUUGAUAUUCCUGUACUACCGAUAACCGUUUGAGAGAUGGGAUGACACAGUAGGAUAAGCUAAGCACACUGUUGGUUAUGUGUGCCCAAGCAUUGAGGCAGUCAAAGUAGGUAAAUCCGCUUUGAUAAUGCUGGGAUGUGAUGGGGAGCGAAAUUUAGUAGCGAAGUAGCUGAUUUCACACUGUCAAGAAAAGUCUCUAUCGAGGUUAAAGGUACCCGUACCGCAAACCGACACAGGUGGGUGAGGAGAGUAUCCUAAGGCCAGCGAGAGAACUGUUGUUAAGGAACUCGGCAAAAUGACCCCGUAACUUAGGGAUAAGGGGUGCCACCAUCAGGUGGCCGCAG